CCAAGGAUAGAAACAAGUGCCUGUGCGAACAACUGAAGAAAGCAGACCUGUUUAAAGUGUUAUCCCACAGAGAAUGGAUUUUUGCUACUAAUAUUUCACUCAGAGUUUAUCCAUCACUCUGUCAAACUUGGUAUAGAGUAUUGACAGGGUGAAGGUUACUUAAACUUGUUCACAUCUUGACCAUAAAGGCAAAAGACAGACAUUCAGAGGCCUUUCAAGUUUCCAUAGACAAAGGAUCCUGGAGGAAUACAAAUAUUUGGAAGUGGUAUCUAAAAUGUAGCUGCUACCAGUGCCAUUUAAAGUUACCAGAGCAGAAAUUUAAGUUAAGGAGAAAGUGAUACACAAGAUUUUCCAGAAGAGCUACAUAAUCAUUAAUAAGCUACAUAACAGACAUAAAGCUAUCAGAGUCACAUAUAAAGUCUUGGCGGCAGCAUGUUAUAAGAUGUUUGAACCAAGACCGUUGACAUACUACCCUUUUGGAUGAUUUAAAGCCUGAAGAAGUUUUGAUCAUUAUGGACUGGGCCAUGAAUUUUUUGCCCUAAUCCUUCAAGGAAAAGGAAUCAAAGUGGUUUGGUUAGAAGGGACUGGAUUGGCUUGUGUGUGUCUGCAUCUUCAAAGAUAUUGACUUGAUUGAUUAUUUGUGAAAUUUUUUUCAUAGAAUUAUAAAGAAAAUAAUGCUUUUAACUGGUUUUUGUCUUGCCUGUAAAAAAAAGGAGCACUAUGCGAGACUUAGGGAUUACUAUCUGACUGCAUCAGUGUGAACUAUUUGUGUAAAUCUUUAUAUUUUAGAAGGGGGAAGACCUGAACGCUUCACACCUUGUAUGUAGAUACCUUAUGCUAAUAAGUUUCCUUCUGUCAUGUGUCCCUUUUCCUUGACCUCAUUUUCAUGGUUCAGCAAAACCAUAAAAUAUAUAUUUACCAGGUGGUUAGUGUUGAAAAACUUUAAAAACAAAUCAGUUUUUUGGUCAUGUGAAUUUCUCACUUAUUAUGAAUAAUAAGAUUUUUUAUGCCCUUCUUAGGGCAUUAUGUUUUUUGGUCUGUACGCGUUAGUUUGUUCGUCUGUCUAUUCGUUCGUCCAUAGCCCACUUCAGUUUAAAUUUAUUGGUCAAGGUAGUUUAUGAUGAAGUUGAAGUCCAAUCAACUUGAAACUUAUUACACAUUUUCCCUAUGAUAUGAUCUUUCUAAUUUUAAUGCCAAAUAAGAGUUUUGACCUCUAAUUUCACAGUCCACAGAACACAGUAUUAGAAAAUGGUAGUGUGAGUGGGACAUCUGUGUACUUUGGAUACAUUCUUGUUGUAUAUAUGGGUUCCUUGUAAUUCUAACAUGUCUGUCAGAGAGGGUUCACAUGACCUUGACCUCAUUUCAUGGAUCAGUGAUCAAGGUUUAAGUUAGGUGAUAAGGUCCUUUUCUCAGAUACUAUAAACAGUAGGUCAACUGUAUGUGUGUAUGGUAUGAUUGUAAAGGGACACAAUAACUACUAAAUUGAAAGGGGUUCAUACCCCCCUCCCUUUUUUCCAAAGUUCACAUGGAAUUCCUCUAAAAUUUUAAAGAAUAAGUACAUUUUGCAAUAAUUUAAAGGGUAUUAAUCCUGCAUUAUAAACAUAUCUAAAAAGCUUUCAUGUAUUUAUUAUAGAGCUGAUACUGUCAGAGUUAACAUCCAGAAAAGGGGUGACAAAUACAUGUAUUUUUAAAGGGUUAUUUAAAAGUAUAGAGUCAAUAUUUAAUAUUUAUGCUCCUAACAAUGAUUAUGUUCAGAAAAUUAUAGUUUGAACAAAUAUUGUUAAGGUGAUUUGAAAUGAAAAUUUGUCAAUCUAGUCAUUUGUCUCCAUGGCAACCAAAUUUACUUUUGAAACUAAUUUCUUUAUUUUGAAUAAUUUGAUGAUACUUGAUGGAAAAAAAUACAGAAAUAAAAUGAGAGAUUAAAUAUUUUAUCAUUAUAAAGCAUACAUUUAUUAAAAAUGUGUAUUUCUCAAAAUCGUUGUGUUCUGUUUCCAUGGAAACUGGUAGUUUGAUUUGAGGAUAAUUAUAAAUAAAUAACUGUUUUCUUUAC